GAAUGGAUAAGCGCUGAAAGCAUAUUAAGCGCGAAGCCAACUUCAAGAUUAGAUUUCCCUAUGAGGACACUGAAAGACUAUCAGUUUGAUAGGUGCAAGGUGGAAGCAUGGUAACAUGUGUAGCUGAAGCAUACUAACAGUCCCAUUGCCUUUUUAUG
rnacentral:rRNA from 1 species